CUGCUCAAUGAUUUUUUAAAUUGCUGUGGUAUUUUGACUAUACAAAGGUAUUGUAAUAAGAUUUUAAUUGAGUGCUAAGAGAAUGGAAAUUCAAAAAAAAUCUUUUUUAAAUUUAAAAAUUGAAGUUAUUUUUAUAUGUGAAGAAACAAUAAUGUAAAUUUAGGACAAGAAGACCCUAUGAAUUUUUAUGUUUUUAUAUAUUAGUAAAUAUAUAUAUAUUACAUUUAAUUGGGGCGAUUUAAAAUAUCAAGAACUUUUUAUUUAAAAAAUUGAUCCAUUAAUAAUGAUUAUAUGAUUAAAUACUCUAGGGAUAACAGCGUAAUAAUUUUGGAUAGAUCUUAUAGAUAAAAUAGUUUGCGACCUCGAUGUUGGAUUAGGAUUCUUAUUUAAUGAAGAAGUUAAAAAAAGAAGUUUGUUCAACUUUUAAAUUCCUACUUGACCUGAAAACCCGGCCGGGG
rnacentral:rRNA from 1 species